AUUGAACGCUGGCGGCAGGCUUAACACAUGCAAGUCGAGCGGGGUGAUGGUGCUUGCACUAUCACUUAGCGGCGGACGGGUGAGUAAUGCUUAGGAAUCUGCCUAUUAGUGGGGGACAACAUCUCGAAAGGGAUGCUAAUACCGCAUACGUCCUACGGGAGAAAGCAGGGGAUCACUUGUGACCUUGCGCUAAUAGAUGAGCCCAAGUCGGAUUAGCUAGUUGGUGGGGUAAAGGCCUACCAAGGCGACGAUCUGUAGCGGGUCAGAGAGGAUGAUCCGCCACACUGGGACUGAGAAACGGCCCAGACUCCUACGGGAGGCAGCAGUGGGGAAUAUUGGACAAUGGGGGGAACCCUGAUCCAGCCAUGCCGCGUGUGUGAAGAAGGCCUUAUGGUUGUAAAGCACUUUAAGCGAGGAGGAGGCUCUUUUGGUUAAUACCCAAGAUGAGUGGACGUUACUCGCAGAAUAAGCACCGGCUAACUCUGUGCCACCCGCCGCCGUAA
rnacentral:rRNA from 1 species